rnacentral:rRNA from 1 species
GACGAACGCUGGCGGCGUGCUUAACACAUGCAAGUCGAACGAGUGGCGAACGGGUGAGUAAUGUAUGGGGAUCUGCCUGAUGGAGGGGGAUAACUACUGGAAACGGUAGCUAAUACCGCAUACCAUCAGAUGAACCCAUAUGGGAUUAGCUUGUAGGUGAGGUAACGGCUCACCUAGGCGACGAUCCCUAGCUGGUCUGAGAGGAUGAUCAGCCACACUGGGACUGAGACACGGCCCAGACUCCUACGGGAGGCAGCAGUGGGGAAUAUUGCACAAUGGGCGCAAGCCGGAUGCAGCCAUGCCGCGUGUAUGAAGAAGGCCUUCGGGUUGUAAAGUACUUUCAGUCGGGAGGCGUUACCGACAGAAGAAGCACCGGCUAACUCCGUGCCAGCAGCCGCGGUAAUAC